GAUGAGGAUAGGCUCGCGUGACAUUAGCUUGACGGCGGGGUAACGGCCCACCGUGGCGACGAUGUCUAGGGGUUCUGAGAGGAAGGUCCCCCACACUGGAACUGAGACACGGUCCAGACUCCUACGGGAGGCAGCAGUGAGGAAUAUUGGUCAAUGGCCGGAAGGCUGAACCAGCCAUGCCGCGUGAAGGUCAGUGCCCUAUGGGCGUUAAACUUCUUUUGUGCGGGAGCAAUAAGGUCCACGUGUGGACCGACGAGAGUACCGUACGAAUAAGCAUCGGCUAACUCCGUGCCAGCAGCCGCGGUAAUACGGGGGAUGCAAGCGUUAUCCGGAUUUAUUGGGUUUAAAGGGUGCGUAGGCUGUGAGGUAAGUCAGCGGUGAAAUGCCCCCGCUCAACGGGGGAAGUGCCAUUGAUACUGCCUUGCUGGAAUGCGGAUGCCGUGGGAGGAAUGUGUGGUGUAGCGGUGAAAUGCAUAGAUAUCACACAGAACACCGAUUGCGAAGGCAUCUCACGAAUCCGCUAUUGACGCUGAUGCACGAAAGCGUGGGUAUCAAACAGGAUUAGAUACCCUGGUAGUCCACGCUGUAAACGAUGAUGACUAACCGUCGGCGAUACACAGUCG
rnacentral:rRNA from 1 species